rnacentral:rRNA from 1 species
UACGUAGGGUGCGAGCGUUGUCCGGAAUUACUGGGCGUAAAGCGCGCGUAGGCGGCAGCGUGUGUCGGGCGUGAAAUCCCACGGCUCAACCGUGGAAGUGCACUCGAAACUGCGCAGCUGGAGUCUCGGAGAGGAAGGCGGAAUGCUUGGUGUAGAGGUGAAAUUCGUAGAUAUCAAGCGGAACACCGGUGGCGAAGGCGGCCUUCUGGACGAUGACUGACGCUGAAGCGCGAAAGCGUGGGGAGCAAACAGG